AGAAAAUCGGCAUGAACUGAUUGAACCAACGAAGACCCGAAAUGAACCGCUUGACUCGAAUGACCCGCGAGAACUAGUAAGGUUUGGUGAUCACACCAAAAACGGCAUACACUCCAUCCGUUUCACCCAAAUUCCUUUCAUUUUGGCACUCACAAAAUCCCAAUUUUGUUAAACAACAGUCACACUUCAAUUCUUCCCUUCGAAGAUUUACAAUACCUGAAAGUCUUCAAGACUUCAACAAUUUAAACCAUUUUCCCUUCAAUUUCAUUGUUGCCAUCUUCAUCUCUAGAACCUCUAUAGUCAUCAAUUGAAGCUCCAUUGUCUUCAAUUAAAGCUCCAUCUUUAGAAAUAGAGACACUUCCUUUCCAUCCAUCUUCAACUGUCGAUCUCCACUGUGAAAGCUAUAACAAAAAGCUAAGCUCCACCAUCAUCAUCCACAUCUUGGAUAUUGCAAAGAGUGGUUUGUUUAAUCC
rnacentral:misc_RNA from 1 species